GACGGACGCUGGCGGCGUGCCUAAUACAUGCAAGUCGAGCGAGUCUGCCUUGAAGAUCGGAGUGCUUGCACUCUGUGAAACAAGAUACAGGCUAGCGGCGGACGGGUGAGUAACACGUGGGUAACCUGCCCAAGAGAUCGGGAUAACACCUGGAAACAGAUGCUAAUACCGGAUAAUAACAGAUGAUGCCUAUCAACUGUUUAAAAGAUGGUUCUGCUAUCACUCUUGGAUGGACCUGCGGUGCAUUAGCUAGUUGGUAGGGUAACGGCCUACCAAGGCGAUGAUGCAUAGCCGAGUUGAGAGACUGAUCGGCCACAUUGGGACUGAGACACGGCCCAAACUCCUACGGGAGGCAGCAGUAGGGAAUCUUCCACAAUGGACGCAAGUCUGAUGGAGCAACGCCGCGUGAGUGAAGAAGGGUUUCGGCUCGUAAAGCUCUGUUGUUGGUGAAGAGGGACAGGGGUAGUAACUGACCUUUGUUUGACGGUAAUCAAUUAGAAAGUCACGGCUAACUACGUGCCAGCAGCCGCGGUAA
rnacentral:rRNA from 1 species